rnacentral:rRNA from 2 species
UGGGCAAUGGCGCUGCUAUACAUGCAGUCGAACGAGUUCUCGUUGAUGAUCGGUGCUUGCACCGAGAUUCAACAUGGAACGAGUGGCGGACGGGUGAGUAACACGUGGGUAACCUGCCCUUAAGUGGGGGAUAACAUUUGGAAACAGAUGCUAAUACCGCAUAGAUCCAAGAACCGCAUGGUUCUUGGCUGAAAGAUGGCGUAAGCUAUCGCUUUUGGAUGGACCCGCGGCGUAUUAGCUAGUUGGUGAGGUAAUGGCUCACCAAGGCGAUGAUACGUAGCCGAACUGAGAGGUUGAUCGGCCACAUUGGGACUGAGACACGGCCCAAACUCCUACGGGAGGCAGCAGUAGGGAAUCUUCCACAAUGGACGCAAGUCUGAUGGAGCAACGCCGCGUGAGUGAAGAAGGCUUUCGGGUCGUAAAACUCUGUUGUUGGAGAAGAAUGGUCGGCAGAGUAACUGUUGUCGGCGUGACGGUAUCCAACCAGAAAGCCACGGCUAACUACGUGCCAGCAGCCGCGGUAAUACGUAGGUGGCAAGCGUUAUCCGGAUUUAUUGGGCGUAAAGCGAGCGCAGGCGGUUUUUUAAGUCUGAUGUGAAAGCCCUCGGCUUAACCGAGGAAGCGCAUCGGAAACUGGGAAACUUGAGUGCAGAAGAGGACAGUGGAACUCCAUGUGUAGCGGUGAAAUGCGUAGAUAUAUGGAAGAACACCAGUGGCGAAGGCGGCUGUCUGGUCUGUAACUGACGCUGAGGCUCGAAAGCAUGGGUAGCGAACAGGAUUAGAUACCCUGGUAGUCCAUGCCGUAAACGAUGAAUGCUAGGUGUUGGAGGGUUUCCGCCCUUCAGUGCCGCAGCUAACGCAUUAAGCAUUCCGCCUGGGGAGUACGACCGCAAGGUUGAAACUCAAAGGAAUUGACGGGGGCCCGCACAAGCGGUGGAGCAUGUGGUUUAAUUCGAAGCAACGCGAAGAACCUUACCAGGUCUUGACAUCUUUUGAUCACCUGAGAGAUCAGGUUUCCCCUUCGGGGGCAAAAUGACAGGUGGUGCAUGGUUGUCGUCAGCUCGUGUCGUGAGAUGUUGGGUUAAGUCCCGCAACGAGCGCAACCCUUAUGACUAGUUGCCAGCAUUUAGUUGGGCACUCUAGUAAGACUGCCGGUGACAAACCGGAGGAAGGUGGGGAUGACGUCAAAUCAUCAUGCCCCUUAUGACCUGGGCUACACACGUGCUACAAUGGAUGGUACAACGAGUUGCGAGACCGCGAGGUCAAGCUAAUCUCUUAAAGCCAUUCUCAGUUCGGACUGUAGGCUGCAACUCGCCUACACGAAGUCGGAAUCGCUAGUAAUCGCGGAUCAGCACGCCGCGGUGAAUACGUUCCCGGGCCUUGUACACACCGCCCGUCACACCAUGAGAGUUUGUAACACCCGAAGCCGGUGGCGUAACCCUUUUAGGGAGCGAGCCGUCUAAGGUGGGACAAAUGAUUAGGGUGAAGUCGUAACAAGUUGCACCCC